rnacentral:rRNA from 1 species
ACUCCUACGGGAGGCAGCAGUGGGGAAUAUUGGACAAUGGGCGAAAGCCUGAUCCAGCCAUGCCGCGUGUGUGAAGAAGGUCUUCGGAUUGUAAAGCACUUUAAGUUGGGAGGAAGGGCAGUUACCUAAUACGUGAUUGUUUUGACGUUACCGACAGAAUAAGCACCGGCUAACUCUGUGCCAGCAGCCGCGGUAAUACAGAGGGUGCAAGCGUUAAUCGGAAUUACUGGGCGUAAAGCGCGCGUAGGUGGUUAGUUAAGUCAGAUGUGAAAGCCCGGGGGCUCAACCUCGGAAUUGCAUUUGAAACUGGCAGACUAGAGUACUGUAGAGGGGGGUAGAAUUUCAGGUGUAGCGGUGAAAUGCGUAGAGAUCUGAAGGAAUACCGGUGGCGAAGGCGGCCCCCUGGACAGAUACUGACACUCAGAUGCGAAAGCGUGGGGAGCAAACAGGAUUAGAUA